CUAAACUACUGUCCUUUUUUGACUUCUUUUUUCUCCGCUAGACUCGGAGGCUUGCUCGUUUAAGAAAGAAAAGUCAAAAACGAACAGAAAGCCUCCUCACUAGGAGGCUUUUUUUAU
rnacentral:ncRNA from 1 species